rnacentral:rRNA from 1 species
UGGGGAAUAUUGCGCAAUGGGCGAAAGCCUGACGCAGCGACGCCGCGUGAGGGAUGACGGCCUUCGGGUUGUAAACCUCUUUCAGCAGGGACGAAGCGCAAGUGACGGUACCUGCAGAAGAAGCGCCGGCCAACUACGUGCCAGCAGCCGCGGUAAUACGUAGGGCGCAAGCGUUGUCCGGAAUUAUUGGGCGUAAAGAGCUCGUAGGCGGUUUGUCACGUCGGCUGUGAAAACCCGAGGCUCAACCUCGGGCCUGCAGUCGAUACGGGCAGACUAGAGUGCUGUAGGGGAGACUGGAAUUCCUGGUGUAGCGGUGAAAUGCGCAGAUAUCAGGAGGAACACCGGUGGCGAAGGCGGGUCUCUGGGCAGUAACUGACGCUGAGGAGCGAAAGCGUGGGGAGCAAACAGGAUUAGAUACCCCCGUAGUCC